CAGUCGCCACGGGAAUACGGAGGGUGCAAGCGUUGUUCGGAAUUACUGGGCGUAAAGCGCGCGUAGGCGGUUACUCAAGUCAGAGGUGAAAGCCCGGGGCUCAACCCCGGAACUGCCUUUGAAACUAGGUGACUAGAAUCUUGGAGAGGUCAGUGGAAUUCCGAGUGUAGAGGUGAAAUUCGUAGAUAUUCGGAAGAACACCAGUGGCGAAGGCGACUGACUGGACAAGUAUUGACGCUGAGGUGCGAAAGCGUGGGGAGCAAACAGGAUUAGAUACCCCAGUAGUUCCUGUCUCUUAUAC
rnacentral:rRNA from 1 species